rnacentral:rRNA from 1 species
GACGAACGCUGGCGGCGUGCUUAACACAUGCAAGUCGAACAGUGGCGAACGGGUGAGUAACACGUGAGUAACCUGCCCUCCACUUUGGGAUAACUCCGAGAAAUCGGGGCUAAUACUGGAUAGUGGGGGAUGGGCUCGCGGCCUAUCAGGUUGGUGGUGAGGUAGUGGUCACCAAGGCGUGACGGGUAGCCGGCCUGAGAGGGGGCCCGGCCACACUGGGACUGAGAUACUGGCCCGACCCGUACGGGAGGCAGCAGGGGGGAAUACUGCACAAUGGGCGAAAGUCUGAUGCAGAGACGCAGCGUGGGGGAUGUCGGCCUUCGGGUUGUCAACCUCUUUCAGCAAGGAAGCGGUACUUGCAGAAGAAGCGCCGGCUAACUACGUGCCAGCAGCCGCGGUAAUUC